CGGGGUGCACCAGGCGCGAAAACUUUGCAAUACACGAAAGUGUGACAGGGUCAUCCCGAGUGCCGACCGCUGAGGUUGGCUUUUACCCAGUCUAGAAAGCUGGGGGAAUAAGGAGAGGGCAAGUCUGGUGUCAGCCGCCGCGGUAAUACCAGCUCUCCGAGUGGUGUGGACGUUUAUUGGGCCUAAAGCAUCCGUAGCUGGCUGAACAAGUCCCCUGUUAAACCCACCGAUUUAAUCGUUGGUCUGCGGGGGAUACUGCUCGGCUAGGGGACGAGAGAGGCAGACGGUAUUCCCGGGGUAGGGGUGAAAUCCUAUAAUCCCGAGAAGACCACCAGUGGCGAAGGCUGUCUGCUAGAACGCGCCCGACGGUGAGGGAUGAAAGCUGGGGGAGCGAACCGGAUUAGAUACCCGGGUAGUCCCAGCUGUAAACGAUGCAGACUAGGUGUUUGGACGGCCACGUGCCGUUCUAGUGCCGCAGGGAAGCUGUUAAGUCUGCCGCCUGGGGAGUACGAUCGCAAGAUUGAAACUUAAAGGAAUUGGCGGGGGAGCACAAGGGCGAAUCGC
rnacentral:rRNA from 1 species